GGUUGUAGCUCAGUGGUAGAGCACUUGCCUAGCAUGUGUGAAGCACUGGGUUCAAUCCUCAGCACCA
rnacentral:tRNA from 1 species